GAAAUGCGAUAAGUAAUGUGAAUUGCAGAAUUCAGUGAAUCAUCGAAUCUUUGAACGCACAUUGCGCCCGCCAGUAUUCUGGCGGGCAUGCCUGUCCGAGCGUCAUUUCAACCAUCAAGCCCCCGGGCUUGUGUUGGGGACCUGCGGCUGCCCGCAGGCCCUGAAAACCAGUGGCGGGCUCGCUGUCACACCGAGCGUAGUAGCAAUCACCUCGCUCAGGGCGUGCUGCGGGUUCCGGCCGUUAAACAGCCUUACAAAACCCAAGGUUGACCUCGGAUCAAGUAGGAAGACCCGCUGAACUUAAGC
rnacentral:misc_RNA from 1 species